UACGUAGGGGGCAAGCGUUGUCCGGAAUUAUUGGGCGUAAAGCGCGCGCAGGCGGCUAUGUAAGUCUCAUGUUUAAACCCAAGGCUCAACCUUGGGACGCAUGGGAAACUGUGUAGCUUGAGUGUAGGAGAGGAAAGUGGAAUUCCACGUGUAGCGGUGAAAUGCGUAGAGAUGUGGAGGAACACCAGUGGCGAAGGCGACUUUCUGGCCUAUAACUGACACUGAGGAGCGAAAGCCAGGGGAGCAAACGGG
rnacentral:rRNA from 1 species